AAUCACAAAGUUACCGAAAUUUCUAGGGAACUCAUUAUUCACAGGGAGCAGAUUUUAUUUCUAUUGUGUUUAAAAGGUGAAAAGGAAAGAGAAAGUGAAGUGGCCUAGAAUCCCAAACAACUUGAGGCAUCUUCCAGACCACAAAGACAAUGAUGCUACGGCACAGUCAUCUGUUACCUCAGUUCACAUCACUAAUACAAUCCCAUAACAGAUUCCGGAGGAAAAAAAAGAAAUACUUUAUCCCAUUUCCUUUCUUAAUUAAACAGUGCUUAAACUGGAAAAUAUUCAUCAGAAAUUGUUCCUAAUAUAGCUAAAUGGUUUAGGUUCAAUUUAAAUUUAAGAAGAGCUGCAGUAAUUAAAAAAAAAGACAUUGCAGCUCUGUUUUAUUAUUUAUUCAUGUAUACAGCUGAAAUAAUCAUAUGAUGGUUUUAAAGAAUUGUGUUUGCCGUCCCCUCAAGGAUCAUAGAUCUAUGAUGAAGAGGAUGCAGAGACAUUGGAAGAGCCAGAGGGAAUGGAUGACUCCUAAGAGACAGUGUCUUCCAGACACAGUAGGACUGACACACAUAUGGACUCGCAGAGAUUAUGGCAACAUAUAAAAAGCCUACAUAGGUACAAACUAGAUGAAGUCCCAGGAAUGAGAGGGAGUAGUGGACACAAAUAUCCCAUCUCUAACCAAAAAUCUAUCUACAACAGACAUUAAAGGAAAAAUUAGAUUUCUCCCGUGGAGUGUCAUGGUUAUAUUAAUCACAUCUCAUGCCUAGGAGUAGUUGACUAACACAAAAUAAAUGAUAUUUUAUUUCUGUUGUGUUUAAAAAGG
rnacentral:lncRNA from 1 species